UACGAAGGGGGCUAGCGUUGUUCGGAAUUACUGGGCGUAAAGCGCACGUAGGCGGACUUGUCAGUCAGAGGUGAAAUCCCGAAGCUUAACCUCGGAACUGCCUUUGAUACUGCAAGUCUUGAGGAUGAGAGAGGUAAGUGGAACUGCGAGUGUAGAGGUGAAAUUCGUAGAUAUUCGCAAGAACACCAGUGGCGAAGGCGGCUUACUGGCUCAUUUCUGACGCUGAGGUGCGAAAGCGUGGGGAGCAAACAGG
rnacentral:rRNA from 1 species